CUUCCACUUUAUUGGCGUUAGCGUCCGAGGAUUCAUUCCUUCUUUGUAUCCAUACAAAAUAGUGAUAAUUCAAUAAAAAUGAUUUAAAUUUUAUUCAUAAACGUAUGCAAUCAUUUCAUCAAUGUUUUGUUAUGACGUUGUCACGGUAAACCGACUUUACGGACAACCAUUUUUUAGCUUAGAACUUAAACUUAGAACAGGCUCCUAAAUUACAAAGACUAACGCCAAAUUUCUUAACUAUAUUUUCAAUCGAAUGAAUUUAUGUCAAUUAAUAGUCUAAACUUUUUAUAAAGGCUUUUUAAAAAUGGGAGUUAUUAUAACUUAGUAACACUAGUGUUAACACAAUUUAAACUCAACCAAUACAUGUACUCAUUACUUGAACAUAAAUCAAUCUCAAAGAUUAGUUACGGUUAAGUAUAUAAGGAAGUCGAUUUCAUUUUCUAAAUAGAAAAAUGAAGUUGAUUGCACCUCUUCUGUUAUUGUCAAUAUUCCUUAUAUCGGAAACACUAUCCCAGGAUGUGUUUGAAACUUCACUGGAUGAUGACACAGAUGUCUACAACAAUGUGAACAUGAUAAACGCAUUGCGUAAAAAGAAACGGCUGUUUGAAAACCUAUUUAAAAAACCGAGGAAAGAAGAGGAUGUGGAUUCAUUUAAUUGGGAGAUCAUAAGAGCGAUACUGCCGAAGUUAAAGAAAUUGCCGUGGGACUGGAUUAUGAAUAUGAUAAGACGGGCGAUCCGUAAUCGUCUGGGUGAAUAUUGAUGGAAAUAUAAUAUUUGAAUUUA